ACCUCGAAACACGCACGACACCUGGAAAAAGUAUAAAUAAUCGAGAAGAGGGAUACCAUAUUUUAUUGCUUCUUGGUCCAUUAGUCUCUAAUAGGUUGAUCUCCCAACUAAUAAGAACAUCAUGGAACACGCCGCAAGCAACUUUAACCUCAUGUCCCAUUAUGGUUACCAUUCUGGAAGGAGACAAACGAUUAUAAGAGGAAAACUUCACCUUGUCCGUUUGUUCUUCAAAAUAUUUGUUUAUAGUUUGGUCAUAGGUUAAAGACAAGAUAACACAAUUAAAUACGAUGAGUCACGAUAAAGGUUGCGUAGCUAUUUUUAUGGGGGCAACAUGCGCGACUCAGCCAGGUCUAUUAGUCAUGUCUGGACGUACGUUUUUUCCUCGAACAACUUGUUCGGUGCUUGCAGUAUGUUUGACAGUUGCUAUGGAACAUUUCAUAUACCGAAUAAAGAAAAGUUAUUUAUGUCCAUCGCGAUAAAAGAGAAGUAUAUUAUAGAAGCUUUUUACCAUCACACUAUUUCGUUAACAAAAAGUUAGAUGUUAGUUGAGAUAAAAGGAAAAUACCAUGGAAAUUUAUUGCCAACACGCUGUUUUGUUAAUAAAGACUUAGAUGUUUCUUUAAACAUAA